rnacentral:rRNA from 1 species
GCUACGGGGGGCAGCAGUGAGGAAUAUUGGUCAAUGGGCGCGAGCCUGAACCAGCCAAGUAGCGUGAAGGAUGACUGCCCAACGGGUUGUAAACUUCUUUUAUAAAGGAAUAAAGUGAGGCACGCGUGCCUUUUUGUAUGUACUUUAUGAAUAAGGAUCGGCUAACUCCGUGCCAGCAGCCGCGGUAAUACGGAGGAUCCGAGCGUUAUCCGGAUUUAUCGGGUUUAAAGGGAGCGUAGAUGGGUUGUUAAGUCAGUUGUGAAAGGUUGCGGCUCAACCGUAAAAUGGCAAUUGAUACUGGCAGCCUUGAGUACAGGUGAGGUAGGCGGAAUGCGGGGUGUAGCGGUGAAAUGCUUAGAUAUCACGAAGAACUCCGAUUGCGAAGGCAGCUUACUAAACUGCCACUGACAUUGAUGCUCGAAAGUGUGGGUAUCAAACAGGAUUAGAUACCCCUGUAGUC